rnacentral:lncRNA from 1 species
UAUUCCUCCUCUUCUGUUUAUAUUAGAAGAUUGUUCAAGAUGAGUACGAAUCAAGUUCGAUUUCAUGUUGGUUACGACAGACAAUACGGAUCGGAACGUAUCUGAGAGAGAGUGGUGGUGGGGGUGGGGGGAGGUGGGGCUAUACCAGGAAGGGCGGGGGGAGGACUCCUCGUGCGCGGCGGCCAUUCCCGCCGCCGGAGGCCAUAUCUCGGCGGGCACAUCUCCUCCUGCAGCCGCUCCUUCCCCCGCCCAAGUAGGAGCGGCCGGCUGGGGACGCAUCUGGACCCCCUCUCUUCGUGCGCAACCACGAAGGUUCAUCCUUACCUCCGUCGCUGAACCUCGCCGCCGCCAUGCUCCGGCCACCGGCGCGCCG